AAAGUAUUGAUUCUGUGUUUAUGUUUAUGUGUUCAGCCAAAAUAUUGAUGCUGGUUAACAAUUUGCUUGAACUUCUAUUUCAGUUUGAAAUCCAGGAAAACCACGAGUGGAAAUUUUCAAACUAUAAGGAAGAGUGUCCUGAUAUCUGCUCCAAUCCUGCUUACAAUUUGCUAUCUGCCAGAUUCCCAAGGAAAGUGCUAGAUGCAGGCGUACAGAUGUGUGUAGCAGUACAACAUGUAUUCAUAAGGAAUUAUUGGCUCAUGUCAAUAAAACCCAAGUGUGACAAGUAUCAGGCUUCUGAAACAUCAAAAAAACAGUGGAAUCUGCACAGCGAUCCCUAUCUAGGCACUAACAGUGAGACUGAAGCACAGUGAACAGGAAGAGUCCCAUGGAGUCCAGAUAGAUUUGUUUCACCCCUGAGGCACUAAAACUGCAGCAAGCUUCAUACACAGAGGAACUGCAACUUCAUGGGGUGUACAAAUCCACUAACUCUCCUACCACAGAGGGGCCAGGAGACUGGGAAAAUGUGGGGCAGAGAUGCUCGGUGCUGGUUAGAUAUGACGCAGCUCAGGCUGCUUGCAGAACCAUUACAAUCACAUAUAUCCUGAGUACCUGUAUAUAACAUGAAGCUGGAAAUCAGACCAACAUUGCACACCUUCCUAUGGACCUUCCUUCUAAAUCCCUCAUACCUCUGGCUUUGCUAUAUGGGGUUCCACUUUAUGGUGAAGACAUGCCUCCAAAGGAAGAGUACUGUACAGAAUUAUUCUGGGAAGCCUGAUCAUCUCGUUUUUUUUUUUUUUCACUUCCUGGUUUGACUAAUCAGCCAGUCCAAAUGGAUACUGAUAUGCCAAUUUUUAUUGGUUAAGGAGCUGAUUUGUUAGAGUCUAUAGCUCGUACUCCUGGGGCUCUCCAAAAGCCUAGUGCCAUUAGGAUGACCCACACUUAUAGGUGAAAGCUUGUAAAAUUAGGGCCUUCGUCUACUACUGACAUUGUCAUUUGAUCAGAGUAGUUUUUAAAAUGAUUCCUUCAUAUGGCUGCUACAGCAUAUUUAUGUCAUAUAAAUGCCCUAGAUUAAUGAGAAACUUAUCGUAGUGUCUAAUUAUACAUAUGAGCAUAUUUUAAAUCAAUGAAAC
rnacentral:lncRNA from 1 species